CUCUGCACGGCUGUGUACACCUGAGCGAGACGCUCAGUCGCUCUCUAAAGCCGCUUCUGCGGAUGACAGACACGGAGAUAAACGUGAGAGGUGGCCCACCACGACUUGCCCUCCUUUGCCCGGGUUUGCCCCUCGCUGCGGAGGCUGUUCUACAUCUGGCCCUUGGAGCAGGCCGGCUGACAGCGUGGUAAAGGAAGAUUUCUGCGGGAGGGCGGCCAGUGCAAAACAAUUCCCUGACCGGGAAUCGAACCCGGGCCGUGGCGCUUUCAGCACCGAAUCCUAGCCACUAGACAACCAUGCAGAUGCGGAAAGCUGCUUUCUCUCCCUUCUUCGACCUGAAGCGACACUUUCCUGUGCUCUAGGAGGACUUGGGUCUUGUGAGAGUCUCCCUUUGCUCCUGGAGUCGUCUCACAAGGCCGUUCACUCCCUGCUUUCUUCAAAAAAAGAACCUGCAGGCGACACACCAAGGGCUCCACGAGGGAGUCCUGAGUACUGGAGCGAGUUGCGGCCACGCGGCCGCAGCUCACCACUGGCCUAGAGAUGCCCUUUGCCAGGCGGCAGCAACUGACAAGAUGGUCGCGGGUCGCCGGGUCCGGAGCCGCCCACCAGGUUGCCAGGAGGAGGCGGGAGCGGGGAGGCGCCCGAGGUGAGACGGGGGCACCCUCUGCAUCAUAAAGGACCCAGACCCCGGCACCCUCAACAUCAUAAGGAAUCAGACGGAUGCGGAAACCGAGGCGGGCUGGAUAGGAAACUCUUUCCAGGAAGGCUCCGGGGCACUCAACUGGUCUCCAACCUUCCCCUGCAACCUGUGACGCCUGCCAUUUUCCCAUUUUAGGCGAUGGCAACGCAACCCCUCCGUUUGCUCUGGGCAAAACUUCGAGAGUUCCCUCUGAAGCUGGAGCUUUUUCCUCAGAUCCAAGAUCCAAUUGGUCACCAAUUCGUGAUUUCCGUCGGCCAAGUGCGUGGGCAUUGAUCUACACGCGAGUUUCUCCACCUCUGCCGAAUGGCUACUUCGGGGUGGGGGAGGGGCCCUCCCGCCGUGGAUUGCAAGGUGUUUAGCAGCAUCUGUCUCCUCCGCUGACUAGACACAUGCCAGGGGGAUAACAUUCUCCCUCCCGCUUCCCCCAGCCGCGGCCUAGUGUCCCAGCGGGGUUGGGAGAGGCAUGUGAGGGCGAAGUUGCCCCCUGUUGAGAACCAUUGCUGCGCGUAGUCCUUCUCUCUGAACUUGUGCAGAGGACUCUCCAGGUGAAGGCUCAAGGGUGGAUCCAGCUCGAGACACCCUCGCUCCCCCUCACAGUCGGACCUUAGGAUUUAGGCUUUAACAUCUCCACAUCAUGAGAUUCGAAACCUUUAGGUCUUGUCUUCCGUUCUGUCCUCCAAAUCGGCCUCUUCCGAGCCUGUUGACCAGGGCCAGCCGGGCAGAGGGCUGGGCUCGCUCAACGAGGCUCCUCUCGCACCUCCUGGAGCUUCAGGCUUCUUUCCGUUGCAGAGAAGCUUUAUGGGCCAAUUCGUUCGGCAUCCCCGGGGGCAGGUGCGCGGUGCGCGGGGAAGAAGAGGAUUUGACUGCGGUUCUCCACCCCCGGCGCCCAACCUCCACCCCGGUGCGCGCGCUCUUCCAGGCUCCUGCUGGUCCCACUUGCCAGGAGUUAGGUCUCAGGUCAGCCUGAGCUCCUGAGACGCCCAGGCCCGGAAAGACACGUAGGGGAAACCAUCUGCUCACUUCUGUCCUGUCCGGAAGGGAUCCCUUUCUGACGGGAAAGAAAGGCGCUAAACAAGCACUGGCCUUGAGAUAAGCAAUGCUGAAGCACUUGCAGCUCACCUAUUACCAUAAACUGACUGAGCCCUCCCUACACAAGCCGUAACUACUGCUUUGAUUGGACAAGAGACUGAUUUCAGUAGUUUUCUCUUGAUAAGAGACCACUGGCCGUGGGCGGGUUCUGGACAGUUUACAGAAGCUAUGCACUUGAUUGCCUUUGUGUCCCUGCUUCACCUUUUGAAGCAUAGGGCCUAAUUAUAAUGUAUUUAAAUGUUGUCUCCACCCCAAAGUGAACAUGGGUUGCAUGUAACAGGCAUGUUUACUCAGCAUGCAUGCAGCAGGAUCCCUUCACAAAUAUUCAGAGCUCCCCCUAUUCCCUGUUGAAUAUGUAUAUGUGGCCAGCCAGAUCAACGUAAAUCACUAUUCGCCCUCCCCUCCCUGGAAACCUACUUUUCGGGUUUCAGCAGGAAGCUAUGCCUCCCAGUCUGUCAGAAUGGCCACUUGCAGGCUGUAACCCUUUAUAAAAAAAUAAAAUCUCCUUUCUAAAUUUA
rnacentral:lncRNA from 1 species